CCCUGCUGGCAUCCCUAGUAGCGGCGAGCGAGCGGGAAGAGCUCAAAUUUAUAAUCUGGCACCUUCGGUGUCCGAGUUGUAAUCUCUAGAAAUGUUUUCCGCGUUGGACCGCACACAAGUCUGUUGGAAUACAGCGGCAUAGUGGUGAGACCCCCGUAUAUGGUGCGGACGCCCAGCGCUUUGUGAUACAUUUUCGAAGAGUCGAGUUGUUUGGGAAUGCAGCUCAAAUUGGGUGGUAAAUUCCAUCUAAAGCUAAAUAUUGGCGAGAGACCGAUAGCGAACAAGUACCGUGAGGGAAAGAUGAAAAGCACUUUGGAAAGAGAGUUAACAGUACGUGAAAUUGUUGGAAGGGAAACGCUUGAAGUCAGACUUGCUUGCCGAGCAAUCGGUUUGCAGGCCAGCAUCAGUUUUCCGGGAUGGAUAAUGGUAGAGAGAAGGUAGCAGUUUCGGCUGUGUUAUAGCUCUCUGCUGGAUACAUCUUGGGGGACUGAGGAACGCAGUGUGCCUUUUGGCGGGGGUUUCGACCUCUUCACACUUAGGAUGCUGGUGGAAUGGCUUUAAACGACCCGUCUUGAAACACGGACCC
rnacentral:rRNA from 1 species